UACGUAGGGGGCUAGCGUUGUCCGGAAUCAUUGGGCGUAAAGCGCGUGUAGGCGGUCCGGUAAGUCCGCUGUGAAAGUCGGGGGCUCAACCCUCGGAUGCCGGUGGAUACUGUCGGGCUUGAGUGCGGAAGAGGCGAGUGGAAUUCCUGGUGUAGCGGUGAAAUUCGUAGAUAUCGGGAGGAACACCGGUGGCGAAGGCGGCGAUCUGGGUAGAUACUGACGCUGAGGUGCGAAAGCGUGGGGAGCAAACAGG
rnacentral:rRNA from 1 species